AAGGGCACCACAAGAACGCGUGGAGCAUGUGGCUUAAUUUGACUCAACGCGGGAAAUCUUACCGGGUCCGGACACACUGAGGAUUGACAGGUGUUUUGUUUUGAUAUAGCAUUCAUAUCUAAUGCUUGUAAAUUUAUUUACAAGUAAUAUAUGUGCUAUUAUACAGAACAAUUUCAAAUAUGCUAGUCCUUUCAUGAUUGUGUGAUAGGUGGUGCAUGGCCGUUCUUAGUUCGUGGAGUGAUCUGUCUGCUUAAUUGCGUUUCACUUAUGGCCACAAGUGUUUUAUAUUAAUACUGUGACCUCAUCGUUUUUUUUACAAAGCGGUGAUUGCGUCCGGUAUGAUAUGCACUGUGAAAGCCUCGAAGGCAACGAACGUGACCGCAGCCUCUUGUUGCCUCCCUUGUGCAAACUGCAUCGUGUUUCUGCAUUAGUAUAUAUAUAUAUUUUAUAUGUGUGUACUAUGUGUUCUACUUUCAGUUUUUUGCCACAGUUUUUUCAUACCUGUGUUUAUCGUUUUACGUCUUUGUCGAAAACAGUUUAUCGUUGUUAAUCAUAAAUAUGGUUUGUUCCGUAUAUUGUGGUUGGCAAGAGGACUGUGUUUCACGAGGAUUUAAAAUUUUGUAUAUGCAUGGCGUAGAAUUAACCUGCAGUGGAGGGAAACUAGAGGGACCGCUGACUUUUUAUCUAACCAGAGGAAGGUUGCGGCAAUAACAGGUCUGUGAUGCCCUUAGAUGUUCCGGGCUGCACACGUGCUACAAUGAUUAUUGCAGUGAGCAUCUUACCCCAGUUCGUGGGCACAGCUUAUUUCGUUACAUUGGUACUUUAAAGGGUGCUUUUAUAUGUGUAUGUGUUCGCACAUGUGUGUAUACUUGCACCUGUCAGUGUUAGCGGGCUGAUGCAUUUUACGACCAGGCUACUUCGAAAGUAAGUAGCUAAUCAAUUCGAAGUAAUGAUUUCCUUUGCAUAUUUUAUAUAUGUCCCGUAUUUUAUGGGUGUUUUAUCUUUUUAGAUUUUACAUACCGUAUCAUAGUGGUGGCAUGUGCUCCAUUAAUUCGUGGUGGGGACAGACCAUUGUUAAUUGUUGGUCUCGGUCUCAACUAGGAAUGCCUUGUACGGGUCUUUGGUUCAACAGACCACCCGGAAUAUGUCCCUGCCCUUUGUACACACCGCCCGUCGCUCUUACCGAUGGACUUCUCUGUGAGUUUGAGGGACUGGAAACUCCUUUCUAUGGAAACUUAAACGAACAGCGUGGUCUAAAGGAAAGAGAAGUCGAACAAGGCA
rnacentral:rRNA from 1 species